AACGAACGCUGGCGGCGUGCUUAACACAUGCAAGUCGAACGAUGAAGCCUGCUGAGCUUGCUCAAUAGGUGGAUUAGUGGCGCACGGGUGAGUAACACGUGGGUAACCUGCCCUUGAGUGGGGGAUAACAUCGGGAAACCGGUGCUAAUACCGCAUAAGACCACGGACUGGGAUGUUUGUGGUAAAAGGAUUUAUUCGCUUAAGGAUGGGCCCGCGCCCUAUCAGGUAGUUGGUGAGGUAAUGGCUCACCAAGCCUAUGACGGGUAGCCGGUCUGAGAGGAUGAACGGCCACACUGGAACUGAGACACGGUCCAGACUCCUACGGGAGGCAGCAGUGGGGAAUUUUGCGCAAUGGGGGAAACCCUGACGCAGCGACGCCGCGUGGAGGACGAAGGUCUUCGGAUUGUAAACUCCUUUUAUGAGGGAAGAUAAUGACGGUACCUCAUGAAUAAGCCACGGCUAACUCUGUGCCAGCAGCCGCGGUAAGACAGAGGUGGCAAGCGUUGUUCGGAAUUACUGGGCUUAAAGGGCGCGUAGGCGGUAUGGUAAGUCUGGAGUGGAAUCCCACGGCUCAACCGUGGAAUUGCUUUGGAAACUGCUGAACUUGAGUCAGUGAGGGGAGGGCGGAAUUCCUGGUGUAGCAGUGAAAUGCGUAGAUAUCAGGAGGAAGGCCGGUGGCGAAGGCGGCCCUCUGGCACUUGACUGACGCUGAGGCGCGAAAGCGUGGGGAGCAAACAGGAUUAGAUACCCUGGUAGUCCACGCUGUAAACGGUGAAUAUUAGGUGUUGGGCUCGCGAGGGUUCAGUGCCGUAGGGAAACCAUUAAAUAUUCCGCCUGGGGAGUACGACCGCAAGGUUA
rnacentral:rRNA from 1 species